rnacentral:rRNA from 1 species
UACGGGGGGGGCAAGCGUUGUUCAGAAUUACUGGGCGUAAAGGGCUCGUAGGCGGCCAACUAAGUCGGAUGUGAAAUCCCCAGGCUUAACCUGGGAAUUGCAUCCGAUACUGGAUGGCUUGAAUCCGGGAGAGGGAUGCGGAAUUCCAGGUGUAGCGGUGAAAUGCGUAGAUAUUUGGAGGAACACCGGUGGCGAAGGCGGCAUCCUGGACCGGCAUUGACGCUGAGGAGCGAAAGCCAGGGGAGCAAACGGG